AUACUUACCUUGCAGGGGAGACACCAUGAUCACAAAGGUGAUUUUCCAGGGUGAGGCUUAUCCAUUGCACUCCAGAUAUUCUAACCUCUGUGAUUUCCCCAAAUGUGGGAAACUCAACUGCAUAAUUUGUGUAGUAGGGAACUGUUCAUACUCUUCCUUU
ensembl:snRNA U1 U1 spliceosomal RNA